rfam:Firmicutes bacterium CAG:41 genomic scaffold, scf154
GGGAGUUUAGCUCAGCUGGGAGAGCGUCUGCCUUACAAGCAGGAUGUCACAGGUUCGAGCCCUGUAACUCCCA